AUUGAACGCUGGCGGCAGGCCUAACACAUGCAAGUCGAGCGGAUGACGGGAGCUUGCUCCUUGAUUCAGCGGCGGACGGGUGAGUAAUGCCUAGGAAUCUGCCUGGUAGUGGGGGACAACGUUUCGAAAGGAACGCUAAUACCGCAUACGUCCUACGGGAGAAAGCAGGGGACCUUCGGGCCUUGCGCUAUCAGAUGAGCCUAGGUCGGAUUAGCUAGUUGGUUAGGUAAUGGCUCACCAAGGCGACGAUCCGUGACUGGUCUGAGAGGAUGAGCAGUCAAACUGGAACUGAGACACAGUCCAGACUCCUACGGGAGGCAGCAGUGGGGAAUAUUGGACAAUGGGCGAAAGCCUGAUCCAGCCAUGCCGCGUGUGUGAAGAAGGUCUUCGGAUUGUAAAGCACUUUAAGUUGGGAGGAAGGGCAGUAAGUUAAUACCUUGCUGUUUUGACGUUACCGACAGAAUAAGCACCGGCUAACUCUGUGCCAGCAGCCGCCGUAAUAC
rnacentral:rRNA from 1 species